rnacentral:rRNA from 1 species
UUGGAAACGACUGCUAAUACCGCAUACGCCCUACGGGGGAUUGGAGGGUACCUUUUAAGCCAUUUCGCGAUUGGAUGAACCCAGGUGGGAUUAGCUAGUUGGUGGGGUAAUGGCUCACCAAGGCGACGAUCCCUAGCUGGUCUGAGAGGAUGAUCAGCCACACUGGAACUGAGACACGGUCCAAACUCCUACGGGAGGCAGCAGUGGGGAAUAUUGCACAAUGGGGGAAACCCUGAUGCAGCCUUGCCGCGUGUGUGAAGAAGGCCUUCGGGUUGUAAAGCACUUUCAGCGAGGAGGAAAGGUUGGUGCCUAAUACCUGUCAACUGUGACGUUACUCGC